rnacentral:rRNA from 1 species
UACAGAGGGGGCAAGCGUUGUUCGGAAUUAUUGGGCGUAAAGCGCACGUAGGCGGCUUGGCAAGUCGGAUGUGAAAUCCCUCGGCUCAACCAAGGAAGUGCAUCCGAAACUGCUGAGCUUGAGUUCUUAAGAGGAUCGCGGAAUUCCCGGUGUAGAGGUGAAAUUCGUAGAUAUCGGGAGGAACACCAGUGGCGAAGGCGGCUCACUGGACCGGUACUGACGCUGAUGCGCGAAAGCGUGGGGAGCAAACGGG